rnacentral:lncRNA from 1 species
CCUCUGCUUCCUGCCUCUUUGAGGCUACUUGACCUGUGCCGUGGUUCUUCGUGGGUGUCUUCUGUCCCCGACGAGAUGGGAGCUCCAAGACGCUGGGGGAGAGAAGAAAGGGAACACCUACCUACUGGGGGCUUUCUGGUUGCCAGGUACCCCGUCGGGCUCGUUCACAGCGGCUGUUUCAUUUGUGCCUCAUCCCACCCCUGCGAGGAGCGGGCCGUGGCCGAAGAGGAGGCGGAGGAGACGGAGGUGGCGUGGGCUGUAGCAUCUUCGGAGCAGGAUAAAGAAGCCCUGGAACCCGGAGGUCAGUGGAGGCCGUAGAAGGCAGGAAGCAGAGACGUUGCACUUGGGCACACCUAGGUCGGCAUCACAACACUGCCUCACCUUAGCCGGGCGGUUUCAGACCAGUCAUUUGGGUUUUUUUGUUUUUGCUAAGUCUUCAUGUCCUCAGCCCACGGGAUGGAGCCACGCUAACUGCUCCACAGAAAUGCCCUAAGCUGCUGCCAAGCCGGUAGGUUCCCAGCAGGGAAUGAUGCAGCUCCCUUCCCUCUGCCCAGGUGUCUUCUGGGCUCCUAAGGAAGGAACAGGCAGGUGGCUCGGGAAGACAUGGGGGAGGGGAAGCCUGCCUGCCUUUGAGGGUAUCUAAGGGGCGGCAGGGGAGGAGACCACCAGGCAGUGUGCCCCUGAAGCCUGCGUGGCAGUGCCUUUCCCCCUCCUGGAGCACACAUACCCCCUUUUGCAUCAGGAGCUUCUGCAUCGGGAAAACGCCAUGGGAACGGAGCCUUGAGCAUUGGUGGUGGCAGAGUGAGGGUUAACCAGUGAGCCUUCCUGGGAGCUUUUUGAUGCCAGGUUCGUUUCCAAAUGCAGCGGUGGCUGCCUGCUUCCUGACGCGAUUGAAUCCCGUGGGAGGGGAGUUGGACACCCCGAAACCCCUCGUCACCAGUUCCGGGGCUGCAGAG